rnacentral:rRNA from 1 species
GAUGAACGCUGGCGGCGUGCUUAACACAUCCCCUUAGAGCGAAGCGAAUCUUCGGAAGUUUUCGGAUGGAAGACCAUUUGACUUAGCGGCGGACGGGUGAGUAACGCGUGGGUAACCUGCCUUACACUGGGGGAUAACAGUUAGAAAUGACUGCUAAUACCGCAUAAGCGCACAGGGCCGCAUGGUCUGGUGUGAAAAACUCCGGUGGUGUAAGAUGGACCCGCGUCUGAUUAGGUAGUUGGUGGGGUAACGGCCCACCAAGCCGACGAUCAGUAGCCGACCUGAGAGGGUGACCGGCCACAUUGGGACUGAGACACGGCCCAAACUCCUACGGGAGGCAGCAGUGGGGAAUAUUGGACAAUGGGCGAAAGCCUGAUCCAGCGACGCCGCGUGAGUGAAGAAGUAUUUCGGUAUGUAAAGCUCUAUCAGCAGGGAAGAAAAUGACGGUACCUGACUAAGAAGCCCCGGCUAACUACGUGCCAGCAGCCGCGGUAAUACGUAGGGGGCAAGCGUUAUCCGGAUUUACUGGGUGUAAAGGGAGCGUAGACGGUUAAGCAAGUCUGAAGUGAAAGCCCGGGGCUCAACCCCGGUACUGCUUUGGAAACUGUUUGACUUGAGUGCAGGAGAGGUAAGUGGAAUUCCUAGUGUAG